GCUAAAUCAGAUGUGAAGUUACGACCAGGCUUCAGAAAUAGCUGAAAGUAAAUAAAUACAUCGGGAUAACGUUAAGGUCACUGACUGUGCCCCAGAGUCACAAAAAAUUAACUUCUCGCCCGGGCCACGCAGGGAUUUGAGCGACGACGACUGAUUUUGCCAUAGAGAGUGCCAAGAGAAUUUCAGAUGAGCAGAUGACGAGGGGAGCCGACACUUGGAAAACCUGCCCUUCCUUACAACGGGAACGGAGGGAAAGGCCUCCAAACCUGCAGCCACAGCUGCCGAGGAGGGAUGAUGAGCAAAUCCUGCAGCCUGCUGGAGUGCUGCGCCUUGCUACUCGAUGGCGCAGAGCUGGAGCCCAACCCUUUCUCAUGGCAUCUAUUUAAUCAGAGGCGCAUAAGCUAAAGCAGAGAUACACGUCCUCAUCUGUCUGACCUUACAGCAGUUCAACUUUUAGGACUUCAUUAAAAAAAAAAAAAAGAAAGAAAGAAAAAAGAAAAAAGCGUUUGGGAACAUUUCUGGAAACACUUUCUUGGAUAAUAAUGGGAAUCCUCAUAGCCCGAGCGGAACCUGAUCCAUAUUAAAAUUCUCGGUGGAAAAUUGCCCGGCUUCAUCUGUCAUUGGUGGGGGGACAAGAAUAGAAAAUGCUGAACAGUAGAAGAGGACUGGGCUGCUUUCCCCGCUGCCUGCGCUAACUUGCACUUGGACACCUCUCCCUUCAAGUGUUUCUCCUUGGGAUACCCUCUCCCUCUUCCCCUCCUCCAUCAGUUUGCCACCAAACUUUUACAAAGAAGGGGCCGCUUCCAUUCCCAGUGCCUUCAGCAUCCCGAGCAAACAGCUCAGCCCACAGCCCCUGCUACGUCUCCCCGUUCCCAUCCCUACCCCAGCCGGGGAAGCAGCCCGUGUGCGGCAGCAGCAGGCUGAGUUUGGAGCCGUGGGGAUGUUCUAUUGGGAAAGAGGGGGAAAGCUGCUGAUCUGAGCUUUUCAAG
rnacentral:lncRNA from 1 species